CCCCAUCUGAGGACACUUAGAUGAUGUCAUCUAUGUGGAACUAACCCUUACCAUACACCAAGUCUGCCAGUGCCUUAACCUUAGACUUUCCAGGCUUCAGAAGGGAAGUUGCUGUUGCUUAUAAAUUACUCACUGUUAGAUAUUUUGUUAUAGCAACACGAACAGACUCAGAUAAUCUCUAAGGUCAGUUUAUAACUAAAGGUUGUUAUUCUGGAGGGAAAGUUGGAUUCAUAGUGAAGAAGAGAAGUGAGUCCUUCAGCUGCAGAAUCAGAGCUAACCAUAAUUAAUAGUGAGUCAAGAUGAAUCCUGAGGUCAAAUGCCAGAGAGAUUAGAACAAAGAAAACAGGAACUGCAUUGCAAGAUAAGAGGUCUUGUGGAGCACAGAGAGACCAAGGAGGCCUGAGACUUGCUGAGAGCCUCUGAUUUUGUAGCACUUCUCCUUGCUGCCACCAUGUGAAGAAGGACAUUUGCUUCCCCUUACACCAUCAUUUAAAUUUCCUGAUUCCUCACCAGCCAUGCUGAACUGUGAGUCAAUUAAACCUCUUUUCUC
rnacentral:lncRNA from 1 species